GGGGUGUAGCUCAGUGGAAGAGUGCUUGCCUAGCAUGUACAAAGCCCUGGGUUAGAUCCCUAGCACCAAUCA
rnacentral:tRNA from 1 species